GUGCUCACUUCAGUAGCACAUAAACUAAAAUUGAAAUAAUACAGAUAAGAUUAGCUGGCCCCUGCUCAAAGAUGAAACAAAAAUUAAUUAAGUGUUCCAUAUUUUU